rnacentral:lncRNA from 1 species
CGAACUUGGGAGAUUUUCACUUAUAUAUAAACAUCAAUAUAUAUCAUCUAUUGGAGAGAUUCACAUACAUAUCAUAAAAUGUCUUGAUAACAUUAACAAAAACAGAGGGAUCGAUCAAACCCAAAACAUACAGACACGAGCACUAAGGUGAGAUCUGACAAAAGUAAAAGAAAAGCUUUGCGCUUGAUAUUGUCUUAAUACAAACAAGAAUGGAAGUUAUUUUCAGCACAUUCUUCGAUUUUUUCUGAAAAAACGAAAGCAGCUCAACAUAACCCAUUGAAACAUUUCAUGAAAUACCUGGCAGGCAAUACUUUGUAGCAAUGCCUUUGUGUUUAUAUUCUGGUUUGAGGGGACGACUGAGGAAGAAAUGUCUUGGUUAGAGUCGAAAUGGGUUUCACCUGAAGGAGAAGAAGAGUCGUUACAUAUUAAGAGAUCUUUGGAUCUUCUUUAAUUCUUUGGCAACUUCCACCAUCGUUGGAACUUCUUCACUAGGACCGAUGCAUCUCAGUGAGAGCAUUCGGAAAGCUUCCAUUUGACAAAGCUCUUGUUCUGAAAUUUGACCCAUCUUUUCUAUCAUCUUUGGAUCUGCAAUCUCUUGGAUUCGUCCGUCUUCCUUUAAUUUUGACGGCAAAAAUUUCUCAUAAUACUUCGAAAUGCGUUGGUAUCCUAAUAGAAGCCUUAGACCCAUAAACAUUCCAAAGGUAAAGACAUGCCUUAUUUAGAUACGGUUUUUAUAAGGUUCCUCCUUCGAAUGAAAUUUAAUGGGAUCCGCAGAGACCAUGUCUUCAUCCAUAGGAUUCCAAGUACCCGGAUCAAUCGAAAGCUCGAUUCUCUCUGAACUACUCAUUUUCAAAUAAUAUCCACAUUGUUCACAAACAUUCAUUUUGACUUUCUUAUACAUUAAUCCAUAACAAUUGUCGCAUUGAAUCCACAAUUGAUUGUAGUUUUGAGUUAUAUCAAAAUCCUUAGAACUUAUUAAAUUACUACGAUUCCUAUUAGUUCUUAUCUUGUAAUUUUUGCUUUCACGAAUCUUUCCACUUUCACUACAAAUGAAAUUAUAAAUGUAACUUUCAUUGGAAUUAUUACUAUCGCUUAAAAAGUUACUAUCAAUACAGAUGUAAGAACGAAAAUAAGAAUCAAUGCAACUAUUAAUGUGAUUAGUACAAUUAUAUUUAGUAUCCUUAAUGUAAGGAUCAUAGUGCAAAUCGUUGUCACCUUUAGAUCUAUUAUUCAGAUAACUAGAACUACAAUAACUAUAAAAAAAAAUUUCUAGGUCACUAAAAUCAUUGUCAAUCUCAAAAUUUUUUUUUUUUUAUCAAAAUAUAUAGAAUAACUAUUAUUAUUACUAUCCCUAACAAAAAAGGUAUCAUCCGAUAUGAAAUUGCGAAUGUCCUUGGAGCUAACUAAAAGAUCAACAUUAUUGGAAUAACUAGAACGCUCACCCCAACCAUAAAAGUUUUUAUCCAUAUCAUAUAUAAAAUGGUCUUGACUUAUAGUAGUCUUUUCACCAGGAGCAAAACUAUCCAUUGCUUUACUUAGCUCGCCUCUGUAUUCCAAUUCUCCCUUAGAAAACAUAAAAUUGAACCACGAUUUUUCCAUAGAGCUUCUGGCCUCUAUUUAAAUGAAAAUACAAUAACAAUAGAUGAAUAGUCAUUCAAUGAAAAAAUUGAAAAAUGCAAAAAAAUUUUGAAUAGUUCAUUUUCUAUUCAGAGUAAGCAAAACAUAUCGAUGCAAUUGCUAAGAUUAUUAAGUAAAAGUAAAGUAAUUGAAAUUAAUAAAUUUCAAUUCUAAAAGAAAAUAAGGAUUUUCUUAUAUUGUGUAAAAUUCUCAUAAAAAAAAAAAGAAAUAUUUGUUCUUCGCUUAUGAAUAUAAGGAUAUGAAGAACUUUUUUAGUAAAAUCUCGUAUACUAAUAUAAAAUAUAAAAUAAAAAAACUUUUUUUAUUCCAAUACGGAAUGAAAAGAAAAGGACAACAUGCAGGAUGGGGUAGAAGAAGCGGGGAUACUUGGUUCAAGCCCUGACACGAAAGACUAUAACACUCCUAAGAAUCCAUGUUUCGUAUAGGAUUUCUUGUGAACACUACAAUAACAAAAUUGUAGUUGUGUUUAAUCUUCUUUUUUUUAUUGAAGAGUUUUUUUAUAUCUAGAUUUAAGUAUGUAUCUAUAAAAAAAAAUAGUAUAUACAACAGAUAAACUCGGCUCAAUCUUUUUAGUAAAAAAAAAGAUUGAGCCGAGUGCAAUUAAACUAAUAAAACAAACGUGAAUUACUAAUCUAAUUUAUCUACUCUUGGCCAUCUAAUUUAUCGACGGUUGGGAAGUUAAAUCUGAUCUCUUUCCAUACUUCACAAGCAGCAGCUAGUUCAGGACUCCACUUGCAAGCUUCACGGAUAAUUUCAUUACCCUCGACUGCAAGAUCACGUCCCUCAUUACGAGCUUGUACACAUGCUUCCAGAGCUACUCGGUUAGCUACGGCACCCGGUGCAUUUCCCCAAGGGUGGCCUAAAGUUCCUCCACCGAAUUGUAGUACAGAAUCAUCUCCAAAGAUCUCGGUCAAAGCAGGCAUAUGCCAAACGUGAAUACCCCCUGAAGCCACAGGCAGAACACCUGGUAGUGAGACCCAAUCUUGAGUGAAAAAGAUACCGCGGCUUCGAUCUUUUUCAACAUAAUCAUCGCGCAGUAAAUCAACAAAGCCCAAAGUUGACUCCCUGUCUCCUUCAAGUUUACCUACUACUGUACCCGCGUGAACAUGAUCUCCACCAGAUAGACGUAAAGCUUUAGUUAGUACACGGAAGUGCAUACCAUGAUUCUUCUGUCUAUCAAUAACAGCGUGCAUUGCACGGUGGAUGUGAAGAAGUAGGCCAUUAUCUCGGCAAUAAUGAGCCAAACUAGUAUUUGCGGUGAAUCCCCCUGUUAAGUAGUCAUGCAUUACGAUAGGAACUCCCAAUUCUCUGGCAAAUACAGCUCUUUUGAUCAUUUCUUCGCAUGUACCCGCAGUAGCAUUCAAAUAAUGCCCUUUGAUUUCACCUGUUUCAGCCUGUGAUUUAUAAAUAGCUUCGGCACAAAAUAAGAAACGGUCUCUCCAACGCAUAAAUGGUUGGGAGUUCACAUUCUCAUCAUCUUUGGUAAAAUCAAGUCCACCACGUAGACAUUCAUAAACUGCUCUACCAUAGUUCUUCGCGGAUAACCCCAAUUUUGGUUUAAUAGUACAUCCUAAUAGGGGACGUCCAUACUUGUUCAAUUUAUCUCUUUCAACUUGGAUACCAUGAGGUGGUCCUUGGAAAGUUUUAGUAUAAGCAGGAGGGAUUCGCAGAUCCUCUAGACGUAGAGCAGCCAGGGCUUUGAACCCAAAUACAUUACCCACAAUCGAGGUAAACAUGUUAGUAACCAAACCUUCUUCAAAAAGGUCUAAGGGGUAAGCUACAUACGCAAUAAAUUGAGUUUCUUCUCCUGGAACGGGCUCGAAGUGGUAGCAUCGUCCUUUGUAACGAUCAAGGCUGGUAAGCCCAUCGGUCCAUACAGUUGUCCAUGUACCAGUAGAAGAUUCAGCAGCUACCGCAGCCCCUGCUUCUUCAGGUGGAACUCCAGGUUGAGGAGUUACUUGGAAUGCUGCCAAGAUAUCAGUAUCCUUGGUUUCAUAUUCAGGAGUAUAAUAAGUCAAUUUAUACUCUUUAACACCAGCUUUGAAUCCAACACUUGCUUUAGUCUCUGUUUGUGGUGACAUAAGUCCCUCCCUACAAGUCAUGAAUUUAGAAUUCUUGCAAUAAAACAAAACAACAAGGUCUACUCGACAUAAAUUAGGAAUAGAUUUAAUUAACCUUUUUCACAGGAAUCUUUCACAAAAUUAUCAACUAAUCAGAAUGAUUCUUUAUUAGACCAUGAUAUUUGAUUCGCCAAAUACAUCAUUAUUGUAUAUUCUUUCAUAUGUAUAGCGCAACCUAAUACUUCUUUUUCAAGUUUUGAAUCUUUGACUUUUUAUAAAUCCAAAUAUUUAAUAUUAAAAUAUUAAUAAAAUCACUCUUGACAGUAAUAUAUGUUGUAUAUGUAAAUCCUAGAUAUGACAAUAUGCGGAAUUCAUCCAUGAAAAUGAAAAACAAGAGGGUGGGGGGGGAGGGGGGUUGCUAAAGGGAUGAAUAAAUGGGACGCAUAACCGGAUAUGCUAAAAUGAAAAUAUGAAAAAAAAGGCUAAUGAGAUCGAAAUAAUGAAUCAUAACUAAAGUUCCGUUUAGAAUUCGCUAGAUAAAAGAUAAAACAAAGGCUUGCCUAUUCUAUUAUGAUAAAUAAAUCAAAGACUUUCCGCAAAAAAAUUUUUUAUUCAUAUAUUUUUUAUUUUAAAACUAGGUUUCAGUUAGUUGAGCUUGAAAAUGACUAUUCCUUCAUUGAAUAAGUAAAAAAUUGAAUUCCACAUCCGCUUGGGUGGUACCAACGAAAUCGAGCGCUUACUCCCAUUUUUUAUUGAAUUAACCGAUGAAUUUGCUAUCGAAGAUUUUUUCUUUAUUCGAAAAAUUUCGCAACAAAAUUUAACAUAUUUUUUUUAUUAUGAGAACAAAUCCUACUACUUCGGAUCCAGAGGUUUCGAUACGUGAAAAAAAAAACCUGGGACGUAUCGCUCAAAUCAUUGGUCCGGUACUGGAUGUAGCCUUUCCCCCGGGCAAAAUGCCUAAUAUUUACAAUGCUCUGGUGGUUAAGGGUCGAGAUACUCUUGGUCAAGAAAUUAAUGUGACUUGUGAAGUACAGCAAUUAUUAGGAAAUAAUCGAGUUAGAGAUGUAGCUAUGAGUGCGACAGAGGGUUUAAAGAGAGGAAUGGACGUGGUUGAUAUGGGAAAUCCUCUAAGUGUUCCAGUCGGCGGAGCGACUCUAGGACGAAUUUUCAACGUGCUUGGGGAACCCGUUGAUAAUUUAGGUCCUGUCGAUACUCGCACAACAUCUCCUAUCCAUAAAUCCGCGCCUGCUUUUAUACAAUUAGAUACAAAAUUAUCAAUUUUUGAAACAGGAAUUAAAGUAGUAGAUCUUUUGGCCCCUUAUCGUCGUGGGGGAAAAAUUGGACUAUUCGGUGGGGCUGGCGUGGGUAAAACAGUACUAAUUAUGGAAUUGAUCAACAACAUUGCUAAAGCUCAUGGUGGUGUAUCCGUAUUUGGUGGAGUAGGCGAACGGACUCGUGAAGGAAAUGAUCUUUACAUGGAAAUGAAAGAAUCUGGAGUCAUUAAUGAACAAAAUCUUGCGGAAUCCAAAGUGGCCCUAGUCUAUGGUCAGAUGAAUGAACCACCAGGAGCUCGUAUGAGAGUUGGUCUGACUGCCUUAACUAUGGCAGAAUAUUUCCGAGAUGUUAAUGAGCAAGACGUACUUCUAUUUAUCGACAAUAUCUUCCGUUUCGUACAAGCAGGAUCCGAGGUAUCCGCCUUAUUGGGUAGAAUGCCUUCUGCUGUGGGUUAUCAACCCACCCUUAGUACCGAAAUGGGUACUUUACAAGAAAGAAUUACUUCUACAAAAAAGGGGUCCAUAACCUCUAUUCAAGCAGUUUAUGUACCUGCAGAUGAUUUGACUGACCCCGCUCCUGCCACCACAUUUGCACAUUUAGAUGCGACUACCGUACUAUCAAGAGGAUUAGCUGCCAAAGGUAUCUAUCCAGCGGUAGAUCCUUUAGAUUCAACGUCAACUAUGCUACAACCUCGAAUCGUUGGCGAGGAACAUUAUGAAACUGCGCAACAAGUAAAGCAAACUUUACAACGUUACAAGGAGCUUCAGGACAUUAUAGCUAUCCUGGGGUUGGACGAAUUAUCCGAAGAGGAUCGCUUAACCGUAGCAAGAGCACGAAAAAUUGAGCGUUUCUUAUCACAACCCUUUUUCGUAGCAGAAGUAUUUACAGGUUCUCCGGGAAAAUAUGUUGGUCUAGCGGAAACAAUUAGAGGGUUUAAAUUGAUCCUUUCCGGAGAAUUUGAUUCUCUUCCUGAACAGGCCUUUUACUUAGUGGGUAACAUCGACGAAGCUACUGUGAAGGCUACAAACUUAGAAAUGGAGAGUAAAUUGAAGAAAUGACCUUAAAUCUUUGUGUACUGACUCCGAAUCGAAUUGUUUGGGAUUCAGAAGUAAAAGAAAUCAUUUUAUCUACUAAUAGUGGACAAAUUGGUGUAUUACCGAACCACGCGCUGAUUGCCACAGCUGUUGAUAUAGGUAUUUUGAAAAUACGCCUUACUAACCAAUGGUUAACGAUGGCUCUGAUGGGCGGUUUUGCUAGAAUAGGCAAUAAUGAAAUAACUAUUUUAGUAAAUGAUGCAGAGAAGAAUAGUGACAUUGAUCCACAAGAAGCUCAGCAAACUCUUGAAAUAGCAGAAGCUAACUUGAGAAAAGCUGAAGGUAAGAGACAGACAAUUGAGGCUAAUCUAGCUCUCAGACGAGCUCGGACACGAGUCGAGGCUCUCAAUACGAUUUGAUUUUGUAACUAGCUGACGUGUAAAAAAAAAAAAGAAUGUAUAAAAAAAAUAGGAUCGAAAAGCGAGAAAAACAAUAAAAUAAAAAAAGCUGGUUACAAAAACUUAUUAGACACCAUUGAUCAUGGUGUCUAAUAAGUUAUACCUACUAUUGGAUUUGAACCAAUGACUCCUGCCGUAUGAAAGCAAUACUCUAACCACUGAGUUAAGUAGGUUAUUUAUCAUCGUAAAGAGAAGGAAAGGGGAUACCUAUCACAUCGAUAGGAUUAUAAAUCCAAUAUUAUUUCUAAGCAAUACCAAUAAACAACGAGAUCAAAGAGAUAUAAUGUUCAAUCAUGUAAUAUUAAUCUUGACAAGAAAUUAUCUACAUGAUAAGAUAAAAUGUGUAUCACAAACACAAGGUCUAUAGCUCAGUUAGGUAGAGCACCUCGUUUACACGUGCGCCAAAGUUUUUCAGAGGAGUCCAUCACGCAAUCAAACUAAUUGAUUGAUCUUAUUAAGAAAUCGAUGUCUUACUCCAUGACUUUUUUUUAGGAAAAAAGAGGAGAACAACAGCCUGACAUUAGGUCCUAUUAAAGUACCCCGUUAGGUAGGGAAUGAAUAGAACCCAUCAUUGAUUUGAGAUAUUGAUAGGGUGAAUACCCAGUCUACUCAAUGCUAGGUAGAAUGAGUAUAAGGAACUCAAAAAUAAUCUUUUCGUCCUAUGAACCUUAAGGUGUAUCAAGUUUCAUGUUUGAUUUUUUAAUCAGGAUGUUAGAGACUAUAUUUAACUUAAGUUGAUCUAGACCAAAAGCAAACCUACGUCAAGAGAACCCUUUUUUGAAACACUUUGGUAGUUCUUCUGUAUUGUAUUAGAAUUUAAAAAUAAUCAAUCAGAGUACUUGGAACCAUUUCUUAUCUUUUUUUUAAGAAAAAAUAUGGUAGACUAACUGAUCCAAAGAUCAGUUAAUGAAAGAGCCCAAUGCAAAAAAAAAUGCAUGUUGGGUCUUUGAAAGAGUUCGAAUCAUUUUGAUAAUAAUAAGUUCGAACUCUUUUACCGAGCAGGUCUACGGUUCGAGUCCGUAUAGCCCUAACUAAGAAAUUCAUUCUAAUAAAUCACAUUAAAAUCAAAAUAAUUGGAUAAUUUUUUUUACUUUUAUUGUAUUCUUUAUUUAUAACAGGUUACUUUUAAUUGCUCGGUUCAUAAAAAAAAUUUCCAUACCAAAAACCAUAAGUCCUGGGGAUCGUUCAGAAUAAAACGGAAAAUUAAAUUUUAUUUCAAUGGAGCCAACCACUAUCUAUCGAUAUAUCUAGAUAGAUACUUUUUUCUAAUUUUUUUAAUUUAGAAUCAACUUUUUUCUUCAUUAAUUUUCAUAGUUGUAAUUUUUUUAUAUGAAUUUUCCUCGUUCACUAGCUACAAUCAAAAAGUUCCUAAGACUUUCUUUUUUUGUAUCCCCACCCAAUCUUGGUUACUUUUUUUAUGACACGGCCUUGUUUAAAAAUAAAAACAGAAAUCUAAUUAAAUUCAACCAAAAUUAAAUCUAUCUAAUACUAAGUAAGAUGAGUAUGGUAAAGUCUUACUGGAUUUUUUGAUACGUCAUCAUUUUAAAAACGAAGAGAUUUUUCGAAAAUGUUUUUUUAAACAUAAACAGAAAUAAAAAAAAAUUACUAGUUAUUAAUCAGAUUAAUAUUAUAUUAUUAAUAUUAGAAACUAUAGUAAUAGAAACAUGGAACUAUUAAGUAAUAAGUGUACUGAAAAUACGAAAUUAAUAAAUCUUAAAAUGAGACGUCUACCACAGCAACCAAACGAAAAUAAAUGAUUCGAUUAACCUGAAUUUUUUUUUGACUCAAGAGUUCUAUAUCCCUUGCCCAAUCCACUCCGAUUGGAAUUGACUAAGCGGGUAUUUUUUCCACAUUCAUAGGAGUUCGUCUAUGUUUCUGCUUUACGAAUAUGAUAUUUUCUGGGCAUUUUUACUAAUAUCAAGUGCUAUUCCUGUUUUGGCAUUUCUAAUUUCCGGAGUUUUAUCUCCAAUUAGGAAGGGGCCGGAGAAACUUUCUAGUUAUGAAUCAGGUAUAGAACCGAUCGGGGAUGCUUGGUUACAAUUUAGAAUCCGUUAUUAUAUGUUUGCUCUAGUUUUUGUUGUUUUUGAUGUUGAAACUGUUUUUCUGUAUCCGUGGGCAAUGAGUUUCGAUGUACUGGGGGCAUCUGCUUUUAUAGAAGCUUUCAUUUUCGUGCUUAUCCUAAUUCUUGGUUUAGUUUAUGCAUGGCGAAAAGGAGCAUUGGAGUGGUCUUAGUUCGUUUCCCGAAUACUUGUACAAUAAAAAAAAAAAAGUAAAAAAAACCAUUGAAACAAUUAUGAAUUCCAUUAAGUUUCCCGUACUUGAUCGAACAACAAAAAAAUCCGUUAUUUCAACUACGUUAAAUGAUCUUUCAAAUUGGUCAAGACUUUCCAGCCUAUGGCCGCUUCUUUAUGGUACCAGUUGUUGUUUCAUUGAAUUUGCCUCAUUAAUAGGCUCCCGAUUUGACUUUGAUCGUUAUGGGUUAGUACCAAGAUCGAGUCCUAGACAGGCGGACCUUAUUUUAACAGCAGGUACAGUAACAAUGAAAAUGGCUCCUUCUUUAGUGCGAUUAUAUGAACAAAUGCCUGAACCAAAGUAUGUUAUUGCUAUGGGAGCGUGUACAAUUACGGGGGGGAUGUUCAGUACCGAUUCUUAUAGUACUGUUCGAGGAGUUGAUAAGCUAAUUCCUGUAGAUGUCUAUUUGCCGGGUUGUCCACCUAAACCAGAGGCUGUUAUAGACGCUAUAACAAAGCUUCGUAAGAAAAUAGCUAGAGAAAUCUAUAAGGAUCGAAUUAGACCUCAACAGGGUAAUCGGUGUUUUACUACCAAUCACAAGUUUUUUGUUGUACGCAGUCCGCAUAUUGGAAAUUAUGAUCAAGAAUUACUCUAUCCACCAUCAUCUACUUCAGAGAUCUCUACUGAAAAAUUUUUUAAAUACAAAAGUCCAGUAUCGUCCCACGAAUUAGUGAAUUAGGGAGGCUUUUAGAGAAUAAGAAAAAAAUCUUCAUAAAUUAGAACUCAUGGUAAAUGUGAAAAACUUAAUUUUAUAUAAAAAAGGUGUGGGGGAAAUAAAAAAGAUGCAGGGCACUUUGUCCGUUUGGCUAGUCUUUACCUUUGGAAUGUUUAUGGGUCUAAGGCUUCUAUUAGGAUACCAACGCAUUUCGAAGUAUUAUGAGAAAUUUUUGCCGUCAAAAUUAAAGGAAGACGGACGAAUCCAAGAGAUUGCAGAUCCAAAUAUUAAAAUACUAGCACCAGAUAUGUCUAGCCUUUUUGUCACAUACACGACAAUUAUCGUAUGAAAACAGUACUCUUAAGGGUAGCCACUCCUCCACUUACAUAAUCUUGUUUAGACAAUUUCAACUUUCAAUUGUGGUUUUAGAGUCCUUGGUGCAGAAAGUAGAACAUGCCUUGGUACAGUUUUCAGCUGCUCCAUUCAAAGUUUCACUUUCAUCUAGUUAUCGAAACAAAAUUUGAAUGGAUUAGUAUUCUCUUGUUCCAGUUAUAAUAACAAUACUAUAAUGGUUCUUGGUACAUAAUCUUUUACUUAACAAAAUAAUAAUAAUAUAUGAGUUUGGAGAAUUUGCUUUACCGGAGUUCUCUAGAGUGGUUAGGACGCAACACACAGAGUAUGCACACCCCAACUUGCAAUAUUCACUAACCGUAUCAUGCACCUUGAGUCAAAAAUCAAAAUACAUGUAACUUGCAUCAAAAAACAGAAUCUUGAUCAAUGUUGUAACAAAUAACAUAAUAAAGCAUAAUAUAAUAUAAUGUAAUAAAAAAAAAAUACUUUUGUCUUUGUGAAUGACAUGAUAAUAUCCCACAGACUACAAGAAGAAUGCACAUUCUUAGCUCACGAGAAGCACUACUAUACGUAAUCAAUAGUGUUUUUUUAAACGCUAUUUCUGCCCCAUCUAUGAUAGGAUCACCGUGUAUAAUAGCUUUUUUUGGUAAGCUAUUAUAUCGUUUUCGAUAAUAGCAUUAAACAAAUGAUGCAAUAUAUAUUCUUAUUCACAAUUUUAUUGUUGUUUUAUAUUGUGUCGUAGCACUUUGUAUUUGCCUUAUUAGAUUUACCUAUAACUCUUUUUUAUGAUAUAAUCUAUUGUUAUAUGCUAUUCUAUUUCAUAUAUUUGUACCCUCUUUUGCAUUAUAUAUUAAAUUGGAUUUAUAUAAAUUUUCUAUUGCAUUAAUUAUAUAUCCAAAACAUACAUACCAAAUCUUAGACUACAUCAAACCAAGUCUUAUAUAAACUAACACUACUAGCUAACACCAAAACAAGUUGAUGAGAGGUGGUAUCCAUAAUGAAGUCUCUUUGAAUCUCAUGUAAAAAUCUAUUUGAAACCUGAGUUUCAUCCUUCCUCGGAUCAACUCCUCUUCAGAUCCAGUUGCAACUCUCUGAAACAAUUAAAAAAAAAACAGAACAUGUCAACUAAGUAAGACUGCAUGGAGUGUAUACAAAACGUUGUAUUUCAUGAGUGUAAUGAAGUUAAUAUCAAAUCAAUUGUAAUCAGACUCUAGAAACAAACGACACAAAUAAGCAAAACGAAAACCCAUUCCAAUUCCAAACACACAAACCACACUCCAACAGACAUAUCCACAAAAAAAAACCGUUAGACCUAUUACCUCAUUGAUAACAAACUUGAUCAUCGACAGCCAUUUCACUGUUUCAGUGAUACUAUUAAUUUACCUUUCACACCAAAGAAAAAGCUUGCAACUUUAUAUAGAAAACAUGAGUUAAUAAUUGUACAUGGAGACCAACUGAUUUUAUGGAGAGAAACCAAACGCAGAAACCCCACCAAAGAUAAACCAGACAUCUUCACUACACUUCUACAAGUUAGUGACCUGGAAGGUAGAGUCUUAAGCACCUGGAAGUUUCAACAGCAACACCACAAAACCAAAAUCAACACAAACAAUUUCAAAACUCUAUUUUUUAUUCACAACAAAUCUCCAUUCUAUUUAGAGCUUAUUGAGGUUUCAAAAUCUGAACCUUAGAAGUAAAUUUUCGAUUUAGUAAACAUAACCAAGUAAAAAACAAUGACUUAAUGCAGCUUUGUCAAUUAAUUAAACUACUGAAUAUUCUUAAAUCUAGUAAUACUAAUAGCAAAUGAGAUAUGUAUAUCUAAUAGAAAUCAGCUUACAGAAAGCCAAACAAUGCUAAGAAACAAGCCAAGCCAAUAAUGAGGGAAUUCGUUGAACGCCUGGAGGGCAUGAAAAGCAUCAUCAGUUUACACAACAUAAACCACUCCACUCCGUCCAAACACUUCUAAGAAACCAGGGCUGGACUCACAAUUUCUAUCCCAAGGAGAAACCAAAACAUUUUGAUGCAAAUUAAAUGGCUAACAUGUUAAGAAAAUCCUAUGUUUUCUUGUAGUGACACUAGAUAAGAUAGUGUCCGAGUGUAAGGGCUGAGAAGGUUGUAGCUUAGCAAUAAAGAAUAAGAAAAUAAAUUCGUAUCAAAGCCAUAGAUGAGGAGAUAAAAAAAAAGGCACCUGAUAAUAGUCUCCAUCAGACGAUACGAGGAGAACAACACUAUUGAUAAUUUUGUCGUAUUAAUUUGAUCGAGCUCAUGUUAUAAUCUUCGUUGUCAAACUCAUUUCAUUAACUUAAACAUCCAGAUUACAAAAGUAGAUGAGAAUCUUCAACAAGAGAUUACCACACAGCACAAAAAAAAAAGAGAUAGAAUGACAGCAGUUCCAUGAUGAACCAACAGUGGAGAAAGUCUGGUGUCAUGUUAUCAUCUAGUAUAUUAUUUAUACUAAAUUCAUGAUCAUCUCGGUGAAUAUCACCGAUGAACGAAUGUUUGGUGAUAUAGAGGCCCGAAUCCACCCAACAGUCGUGGAGUUCGCAGUUCAAUAUUGAUCGCAAGAUGAGAUGUAGUUGCUGGAAUUUGCAAACUUACGUCAACGAACCAUGUUUUCCGCUUUGCUCGAAGGGCAUAUUCCAGCUAAGUUGCCCAUGCAGCAUAAUUUUCUACAUUCAAUUCUCUGAUACCAUGUAAACUCUAGAAUAUUAUAGUUAUACGACUUGUGUUACGAACUUGGGAGAUUUUCACUUAUAUAUAAACAUCAAUAUAUAUCAUCUAUUGGAGAGAUUCACAUACAUAUCAUAAAAUGUCUUGAUAACAUUAACAAAAACAGAGGGAUCGAUCAAACCCAAAACAUACAGACACGAGCACUAAGGUGAGAUCUGACAAAAGUAAAAGAAAAGCUUUGCGCUUGAUAUUGUCUUAAUACAAACAAGAAUGGAAGUUAUUUUCAGCACAUUCUUCGAUUUUUUCUGAAAAAACGAAAGCAGCUCAACAUAACCCAUUGAAACAUUUCAUGAAAUACCUGGCAGGCAAUACUUGGUAGCAAUGCCUUUGUGUUUAUAUUCUGGUUUGAGGGGACGACUGAGGAAGAAAUGUCUUGGUUAGAGUCGAAAUGGGUUUCACCUGAAGGAGAAGAAGAGUCGUUACAUAUUAAGAGAUCUUUGGAUCUUCUUUAAUUCUUUGGCAACUUCCACCAUCGUUGGAACUUCUUCACUAGGACCGAUGCAUCUCAGUGAGAGCAUUCGGAAAGCUUCCAUUUGACAAAGCUCUUGUUCUGAAAUGUGACCCAUCUUUUCUAUCAUCUUUCGAUCUGCAAUCUCUUCCAUUGGUCGGUCUUCCUUUAAUUUUGACGGCAAAUAUCCAUCAUUAUACUUCAAAAAGCUUUGGUUUCCUAAUAGAAGCGUUAGACCCAUAAACUUUCCAAAGGCAGAGACAUCUGUUUUCUCUGAGAC